rnacentral:tRNA from 1 species
GGGACAGUACUCAAAAUGGACAAGAGAAUAUUCUGCUAAGAUGUUAGGUCGGGAAACCUAUGUGAGAGCUCUAGUCUUUCCUGUUCCG